GUAGUAUAACGAUUUUUAUUUUCAUCAUUACGUUUAGUAUUUGUGUGCUCUAGGCUUUCUCUUUUGGGGUUGGUUAUUUGGGUGGCUUUUACUUAUGAUUCUUCAUAUUUCCCCCUGUUCAUAAUUUUACUCUAUUUUUCUAGUCUAGUCUUUUCUUUGUUAUUAUUUUUUUCUUUUUGUUUCAUUUGUUUCUUUUAGGUUCCACAUGUGUAAUUUUAGUUCCUGAAUUGCUCCAUCUUUUUCAUUAUUUGAUUCCAUUUGUUUGUUAUUUUUAGGUAGCAUUAGUACUGAUAAAAUGCCUACAGAGACUGAGGAGGAGUUACCACCUUCUAGUCCCGAUCCCAGUAUCUCUCAGGAGGGAACCUCUCAUUCCCAAUAUAAAGUACUGAAGAGUAUUGGAAAAGGAAGCCAUGCCAAGGUCCUCCUGGCCCACCGCCGGCUCACAGGAACCUGAGUGGCGGUCAAAGUUCUCCGAAAGAACAAGCAGUGGUUCCGGCCAGCCAUGACAGAAGCAAACAUAAUGAGAAAGAUCAACCACCCCAACAUUGUUUCUCUCUUACAAGUCAUUGAAAA
rnacentral:lncRNA from 1 species